CGCUUUUUAUAAAAUGGCUACCUUGAAAAUUUAAAUUUAUUUAUCGUAUUUUGAUUCGUUAUAAAUCAUUUAAAUUCUAGUGGAAUUCUAUAAAUAUUUUUAAAUCUACUCAAUGACUAGUGAUAUAAAUUAUAGAAUACCGGUAGAUAGUGAGGAUUCUCAAUUGAGUGAUUCGUCUGAUGAAGAAUAUUUACCAUGUGAUACUGGGGCAAUUGAAUCAGAUUAUUCGGAUAUUGAAAGCAAUGACUCUGACUCAAGCCAUCCUGAUGAUGGAUUGUCAGGACGACGAAAUAUAUGGAAAUCCUCUUUAACUAAUGUCCCACGAGUAGCCCCAGAUUGGAAAGGCAGUUUACCCUUCGCCAAUAAAGUUAAAAAUCCGAUAUACUACUUCAAAUUUUUACUGGGAAAUAUACUUCCUACAAUAGUUCAAUCUAUAUUCUAUUCAAAAAGAUAUAAGCAGACCCCUUAAUUUAUUGUUAGAUGAAUUAGAACAAUUCAUAGGUAUUUUGUUCUAUAUGAUUAUAAAUCUACCAAGAGCUCGUUUAUAUUGGACGGCUAAUACUAGAAUCGCUAAUGUAGCUAACAUUAUGUCAGUAAAAAGGUGGGAGUUCAUAAAAUCCUGUUUUCACAUAAAUGACAACACGAAAGCAUGUCCUUUUGGGACUGAAGGGUAUGAUGCUCUUCAUAAAAUACGACCUAUGCUGACGAUCACAACAAAUAUUUUAAAAGAUAUUACACUAGGAGAAAAUCUAUGCGUCGAUGAGCAAGUUGUUCCUUUCAAGGGACAAAGUAAGAUGAAACAAUACAACCCCCAAAAGCCUAAAAAGUGGGGUUUUAAAUUCUUUUUAUUAUGUGGAAAUGAUGGUAUUGUUUAUAAUUAUGAAAUGUAUAUGGGGAAGAUUCUCCAAGCCGAAGGUAUGCCAGAUAUAGGAGCUUGUGGGAAUUCAGUUCUGCGCAUGGUUGUCGCAGUUCCAUUGAAUCAAAAUUAUAAGUUAUACUUUGACAAUUGGUUCUCUAGCAUAAACUUACUGGUUAUAUUAGCGCAAAGGGGAAUACAAUGUGUAUCAACGGUUAGGGCAAAUCGCCUCAAAAAUUGUGUUUUGCCGACAGAUCAAGAGAUCAAAAAAAACAGUGAUCAAUGGAGUAGAAUUAUCUGUAAUCAAAUGGUUUAACAAUCGUUCAGUUUAUCUAACGAGCAGCUUUAUAGGGGCCCACCCGAUAUCUGACGUGAAACGAUUCGAUAGAAAAAAAAGGAAAGCAUUAAUGUAAAAUGUCCAGCCAUUGUUAAAAAUUAUAAUAAAAACAUGGGUGGAGUGGAUCUUAUAGAUUCCCUACUAGCAUUAUAUAGAAUUCAUAUCAGGUCCCGAAAAUGGUAUCACCGAGUAGCCUUUCAUAUAUUUGACAUGAUGCUUGUUAAUUCAUGGCUAUUGUACCGGAGAGAUUGUAACCUGUUACAAAUUCCCAGGAAAGAGCAGGAGUCGCUCCUAACUUUUAAAAUAUCAGUUGCAGAAGUAUUGUGCAAAGGAAAUAAAAGCAUUAAUUCAGUAACGGGUAAUAAACGAAUAUCGGUGCAAUCGGAAUAUAUAAAAAAGUGUAAAAAAGGUACAGCACAAUGUUUACCAAAUUUGGAAAUUCGGAAAGACCAAUUUGCACAUUGGCCUAAGUAUAAUGACCAAAAGGUCAGGUGCAAAUUACCAGGAUGUAAGGGGAUUACAAAAGUAGCUUGCGACAAAUGCGGGGUAUCAUUAUGUUUUACUCCAGCAAAUAAUUGUUUUACUAUAUUUCAUAAAAACUGAUUUUUUUGCAUUUGUAUAUCAUUUUUAUA